UACGUAGGAUGCGAGCGUUGUCCGGAAUUAUUGGGCGUAAAGAGCACGUAGGUGGUUUCUUAAGUCAGGGGUGAAAUCCUGGAGCUCAACUCCAGAACUGCCUUUGAUACUGGCGAUCUUGAGUCCGGGAGAGGUGAGUGGAACUGCGAGUGUAGAGGUGAAAUUCGUAGAUAUUCGCAAGAACACCAGUGGCGAAGGCGGCUCACUGGCCCGGUACUGACGCUGAGGUGCGAAAGCGUGGGGAGCAAACAGG
rnacentral:rRNA from 1 species